rnacentral:rRNA from 1 species
UAUCUCUGUAGAGUCUGCAUAUCAAUAAGCGGAGGAAAAGAAACUAACUAGGAUUCCCUCAGUAACGGCGAGUGAAGCGGGAAGAGCUCAAAUUUGAAAUCUUCAAGGUUCUACCUUGACGAAUUGUAGUUUAAAGAAGUGUUUUCUGUUGGAGUUUUGGUAAAAGUUCUUUGGAAUAGGACAUCAUAGAGGGUGAGAAUCCCGUAUUUGACCAUUAUUUCCAACUUUGUGAUACACUUUCAAAGAGUCGGAUUGUUUGGGAAUGCAGUCCAAAAUGGGUGGUAAAUUUCAUCUAAAGCUAAAUAUUGGCGAGAGACCGAUAGCGAACAAGUACCGUGAGGGAAAGAUGAAAAGAACUUUGAAAAGAGAGUUAAACAGUACGUGAAAUUGUCAAAAGGGAAGCGUUUGACACCAGUGUUGUUUUCUCGAAAAUCAAUUAAAAAUGGCUGGAUUUUGUGUUGUAUUGACCUUAUAAGCUUUCUGCACUUUUUUCUAUGUCUUUUUUAAUGCACUUUUCGUUUAACAAGUCAACAUCGAUUUCUUUUGUUGUAAAAGAGUCAUUGGAAGGUGGCUUUCUUUUCGGAGAAAGUGUUUAUAGUCCUUUGACUUCCUGCAGUCGGAGAGACUGAGGUCUGCAGCGUAGAUCCUUCUGGGAUUAGAUUACAUUUGUGCUAAGUUAUAGCUUUUCAUAGACAACUUGUUGACUAUGAUUAGUCAUUGUAGCUUACUCGCUUAUGUAUUUUACCUACGCUUAGGAUGUUGAUCUCUCACAGUCGAGC